rnacentral:rRNA from 1 species
GACGAACGCUGGCGGCGUGCUUAACACAUGCAAGUCGAACGAAGAGCGAUGGAAGCUUGCUUCUAUCAAUCUUAGUGGCGAACGGGUGAGUAACGCGUAAUCAACCUGCCCUUCAGAGGGGGACAACAGUUGGAAACGACUGCUAAUACCGCAUACGAUCUAACCUCGGCAUCGAGGAAAGAUGAAAGGUGGCCUCUAUGUAUAAGCUAUCACUGAAGGAGGGGAUUGCGUCUGAUUAGCUAGUUGGAGGGGUAACGGCCCACCAAGGCGAUGAUCAGUAGCCGGUCUGAGAGGAUGAACGGCCACAUUGGGACUGAGACACGGCCCAGACUCCUACGGGAGGCAGCAGUGGGGAAUCUUCCGCAAUGGACGAAAGUCUGACGGAGCAACGCCGCGUGAGUGAUGACGGCCUUCGGGUUGUAAAGCUCUGUUAAUCGGGACGAAAGGCCUUCUUGCGAA